AAAUACGUACGGAGGCCGAAAAAAUUCUUGGAUUGCGUCCGGGUGCUACUGCAAGCAUCCGAAGUGGUCGUAACAAUGUUUCUGGUGCUCAAGGGAGUACCAGCCCUGGAGGAUAUCCCAACAACCGACCUGGUUCAGGGGGCAUGAUGCCUGUAAUGCCAGGAACAAGGAAUGUGAAACCCCGUCUUUAUUUUUACGUAUUUUUGUAAUAUUAUCGAACGUGUGAAUUACCAAAUUACCCUUGAAGCGUGAACAUUGACUUUGUGUUUUCGAAACGUCGAACGUUUUCUUGGAUAUUUUCAUGUUUCGUCUUAAGUAGCCUUAAUUUAUGAGCCAAUGAGAACCACUUUGGAUCCUCAUCCCCUUGUUCUUCCCCCUUACCCGUGAGUCCUUCCCCCUUUUUUCUUUUACUUUCUGUCAACUUUUUCCCUUGCUAACUCUCACUUCUUUCUACACUCUCCCUCUCUUCCUCUCGGCUUGCUUUAGAACCACCAUCUCCGAGGGUUUUACACACACAAACAACAACACACAGCAACGCACAACAAUCUUGGCACCACCACCAUCACCCCUGUGAACUCAGAAACGAAGAAAAACCCUCUAAACCCUUCCAAACUCGCUGCACAAUGCACUCACUAUUCACUGAGCUUUUCUGAUGAAUUUUCAUGUUCUCCGGCGAUGGUAAGCCUCGAACCUCGUCCAAAAGUUGUAGAUCGUGUCUUGGUGUAUGUUUAGAAGAAGUUUUGAGAAGUUUUGGUGAUGUCUGGACGUAGGAAACUCACGGGGAAAACUUUCUCAGUUUUCAGGAGAGGACCACCACUUUCGAGGCAUUUUCAGCCAAACCACGACGAGUUAGCCAUCGAGAAAUGUGCCAUUCUCUUCAUCUCGUUGAGAAGUAUGAUUUUUUUUUUGAAUCACUUGAUUUCGUUGAGUAUUGAUGAAGUUAUAAACGUUUAAAAUUUACCCAUAAUCCGACGAGUUUCGCAGAUUCUCAAUAACCAACCAACUUUCAAGCCAUUUUCCAAUCAACUUUGGCCACUACUUGGUCCCCACUUGGUAUGAAUUUCUUCUCCACAUUCCUAACAAUAUUUUGGCUUUGAUCACUCGAUUUGGACAUGUAUUGAGCUUGGACUGGGCUCUUGAAGUUGGGGGAAAUAUCUGGGAUUUUUCCACUUUUGAAGGGUCGCGCAUAGGUGCCUGCCAUGGCCAGCGUGUGGAGCACACGCGCCUCCGUCGAAGCUAUUGUGCUCCGCCGUUGUCCACGACAGCGUCGACAACUUUUCCGGUUGCCUUUCCGACAACCAAUCCCAGCGUGUGGGGGAACCCGAGGUCACUCCUUAGGUUUUUCGACGUCUUGAAUCCAUUUACGACGUCUAUUUUCAAAAAUUCAAUCAUUUUGGUAGAGUUUUAUUAAUUUGUCCCCUUAUGUGCUUAGGUGCAUUUGAUAAUGACGUUUCCGUCCUCCCUAAUUCGAAGGGCUCUUUGACAACAGAGUAUCUGUGAGUGAACCUCUUCUAAAAUGUAUGAUUUUAUUAUUAGAAAUGCAUGAUUUUAUGACUACGUUUUAUGAAACGUUUAUGAGUAAAUCGGAUUUACGCUUUAAUAAUUAUCAUGCUUUAUUGAAUUUAUGUUUACUGAGAUAUUUAUGUAUAUGAAUUAUGAUAUGAUUUUGAGUUAUUGAGCUUCGAUAAGACAUAUUUUGGAAAAAUUAUGUUUAUAGUUUUCUAUGCUUACAUAUGGAUAAUGAUAUUUAUAUAUGUCUUCGGGCGGGUAAUGAAGGGCCUACGAAUGAAUCAUAAUUAUAUAUGGCUUCGACUGAGCGAUGUAGUGGCUUAAGUCGGAAGAUAUUUAUAUAUGGCUUCGAUCGGGAGAUAUAGGGCCUUUGAGCGAUUAUGAUACCACUACUAAACACACUAUAUACGAUAUAUGUUUUAAAAAGGUUUUAUGACAUGCUAAGUUUUCGAAAAACCUAUUCCUUAUUGGUAUGUUGAAAAAUAACUAUUUUAGUAUUAUACAUAUAUCACCACUCAUGUUUUAUUUUAUGCCCCUUCAUGACCUAAGAACGAGGCAUUCGACCUGAGAUACGAGGCAUUCCCAUAUCAGUUUCUCUUGUAAUAACACUUUCUAAUAUUCUUUAUGCUUGUACUUUGAAUUAGUAGUAUGCUCUGAAUAUAUUAUGCAUUAUCACUUCUAAAUUAUUGGCAGUUAAAUAUUAUAUUUUAUUAAGACUUGUACUUGAUUGUUAUAUUACAUUGUUACGCGCAAAAUUUAUAUGCAUGUUUUACAUGUACUUAAUAUAUGUAUUUAUGAAAUAGCUUGCAUCAUCUUCGGAUGUCGGCCAACAUAUCAUGUUGUCCUUAAGACACGGGGAUCGGGGUGUGUCAAGGAAGAUGCCUGGGAUGCCUGGAAUGGAUAAUGACAAUUGGGAGGUUCAAAGGACACGGUCAAUGCCAAAGGGUGAUGCCAGACCCCAACGCAGCUGUAAGUUGUGCCGAGGUCGAUGUCGACGGCCUUUCCUUCCGUCUUGGCCGCCAUUGAAACUGCUUAAACAAAGAGACUGCUUAUAAAACAGAGCUCGAAACUUACAAACAAAAUUUGGACAAAAAUAAAAGAUUUCUGAGAAUUUGAACGCUUUCUAAGAUUUUUUCUGAUCAAAUCUGAGAUUGGAUUAGGAAAAGAGGUAGGGGUUCGUCAAUUUUUAGUGUUUUGAAAGAUUAUUCGAGAGAAAUGGACAAGAAUGUAAAGGAGAGGCGGUGGAAAGCUUACAGGUGGUUCGGGAGUGUUCUGGAAUUUUUUGAGGGAAGGUUUGGCUCGGGAAGGUGGGCUUGACUUGUGUGGAAUAUACGUGGGUGCCAUCGUUUUCGGUAAAUUGGCGGGUGAGUGGGUGCUAUUUUGGGAAUUGGAUCAUCUUCGAGACAAACCGUUGGAAUUCUUAGAAUCAUUUUACACAGAUUGUUGAUUCAACUGCUACAAUUAUUAUAAUUUUGAAAAAAAAAUCUUUGUUCGUUGAGUUGAAUUUCGAUACAACGAUCAUGUUAAUGAAUUCCGAGGGUAUGCCUCGAAGAGGAUCCAAUUCCGUAACGGUGGGGCAAACUAGUGAUGCGGUGGCAGGUUGGCUGCCGUGUCUGUGUGCACGUAGCGUGGGUGAUUUUUUAGUGGGUAUUGUUUGGGCCAGCUAUGUGUCGUUUGUGUUUGUUAUUUUGUUCUGGUCCCACCUUGUGAGUAUGGGCUAAUCUUUAUCAAUAGCCCAACAUAAAUUUAAAAUAAAUUGAUGGCUUGUUUAGAAAAUACUUUAAAAGACUGAAAUUAUUUUUAGAGAAAAUAUUUUAAAUUUAAUUGUUGGUAAAAAUAUAAUUUUAUUCUUUAAAAGUACUUGAAGUGUUUCUUGUAAGAAUUACCAAUUAUGUGUUUAUUACAUAAAGUACUUUAAAUAUUUUUGAAACCCAAAACCAAUUUAUUUAAAAGCGAUUCUAAUCAUUUAAAACACUUUCCAAACGACCUGAAAAUCAGAGAAAACCUAUUGUUAUAUAGAAGGUGUAUUGGGGGUGAAUUUAUUUACUCAAUUUCUUGGAUUUUCUGAUUUAUUUUUUAAAAAUUCUCAAACUUCUAUGCUUAAGCAGAAAUAUAAAAUCAAUACUCCAAUUAGAAAGAUGCAAUUGAUGAUGAAUUAGGUUAGAAAAGAAUAAGAGUUUAAUUAUAUUGUUUAUUCUUAAAUUUUGUUUUUUAAAUCGAUCACAGUAGACGUUAUAGGGCUCGUUUGGUAGUGCUUUUAAAAUUAUUGAAACAUUUUUUAAAAAUCAAUCAAUAGUAAAAAUGCAAGUGACUCCUGAAAACACUUCAGGUGUUAUUGAAAUCCAAAAACAAAUUAGCCGAAAAUGCUUUCAAUUAAAUUCAAUGCACUUCCAAACUACCAUAUGAAAUGAUGUGUAAUUUUGGCAAAAAAAUUUCAAUUGGGCAGUUCUUCUAGCUUAAUUUUUUACACAAAAUGAGAAUCACUCGCGAUUCACGAAUGAUCUGGUCGGACAUCCUCCACUUUUAGGUAUGUUAAGUAAAUUUGAUCCGACCUUUAUAUGAAUCAUGAUGAGUAAUUUUGUGGUUAUACAAAAAGAAGCAAAGCACCCAAAAAGCCGAAAGUACACGAGAGAGAGAGUAUUCGACGCAAGUAAUUAGGCGAAAGGACACAUCCGUCAUUUCACGAAAAGUGCACGCCACUCUACAUCCUAGCGACGACACGACAAGUGAACAACAACGUAAUCACAGUCGCCCGACAUUACCAAACCAAAAAAAAAACUCGAACCAAAAAUCUGCGGCUGCAAAAAUAAAAAAUAAAAAUGGCAAAUGCAACUGCGACGCGCACACUCUCUCACUUCACCAACGAAAGGAAGGGUUUUUAGCCUGUCCACCGCCCCCACGGACCCUUUUCUCUCUCUCUCUUUUCUGAGUUUCUCUCUCUUAGCCUCCGAAGAGAGAAAACCAAACCCGACCAGGAAAUCCGAAUCCGAAUAUUUGGAUCCGUUUUUUCGUUCAGGGAUUUAAAUCCAAUUCAACAGGAUUCAGCGUCUGUUUUCGCUGAGUCUUUCGUUGUUGUUGUUGUUGUUCUUUGAUCGGACGGCUGAGAUUCUUCAGGAGAUUAAGAUCGAGGUAUGCAGCAGGGUGAUCAACCGGUGUUGAACUUGAGACCUGGUGGCGGUCGCGGUAGACUCCUUGGUCCUCGCUUCGACUCCUCAUCCGCCGCUUCCGGCUCGUCGUCUUCAUCGUCGUCUUCUUUGGCUUUCGGUUCCUUUUCUUCUGAUCUCCCUCUCCUCCGUCCCCAUGGCGGCGCUCCCCCUAAUUUCUCUAUCAAGGUAUACUUAUCAAAUCUCUCCACUUUGUCUGGAUCUGGGUUUGCAUCUGGAUGUAUGAUUUGAUUUGAAUUUGUUGAUUUAGCAAUAACAAGCCUGUAAAGUUUGCGUCUUUGGAUUGAAUUGUGUCCAAACAAAGAUGGGUUCUCUGAGAUAAUUGGUGUUUUAAUGCGUUAAUGCGUUGUUCAGACUAUUUUGUAUCGAUUUUGAAUGUAAUUUGAGCAACCCUUUAAUGAUUUUAACUCCCCCUACCGACCCUUGAAACUCGUUUGAGUAGAUGAAAAUCUUUGUUUAUAUCAUAAGGAGGUUUUGUUGCAAGUAAUUUUAAGAAGCCAAUGUCCUAAUUCUUGGCGGGGCGCUUAGUUUGUGUGCCUGCUGUAAAUAUGGACGAACAGCAAUAUGUAGGCUUUAGGUGAGCAAGCAUUGAGUUGUAGGCUGCCCAUAAAGGACCUACAAACAUCUGAUUCAUCCAAUGCUGCAUAAUUGGGAGUUGGCUACUUUGCAAUUUGAAGCUUGUGUUUGCACUGUAAUGCGGCCAGACUUUCUGAACUCUUUUUUCUUGACAGGCUGGAGACGCACGGUUUGAGGGUCGUGAGCGAGUGAAGUACACCAGAGACCAGAUCUUACAGCUUAGAGAGGUAUUCAAUUUUGGAAUGCAUUUCAUGUUGAACAGAACAGUAUUAUUAGUUGUGAACAAAAAUGAUAAGACAUUCUCAUAAAAACUUUACUGAUCUGCGGAAUAUUAUACCGCUUCUUUGUAGGCUAUUGAGGUCCCUGAUGAAAUUCUAAAAGUGAAACAAGAAGUUGAUGCUGAAUUUUUCAGCGGUGAAGAUCAGAGCUGGGGUCAUGCAGAAACCAGUGUGAGUUUUCGUCCGUCUAAUAUUACUUGUAUUUUCAAUGUUUAAGCGUUGAAGUUGAUGGAACUGUACAUUCGAUAUCAUCAUUUUCAAAUAUCUUUUGGUUGCAUUUGACUUUAUAAUGCUCAUAUUCUUUUUAUUGGUGUGAUUAGUUAUGUAACCUUGAAGUUAUUGAUCUCCAUAUUAUGAUAUUAAGUGUGUGCUUUAUAAAAGACUUCUAAUUUUUUUAUUUACCUCUUCAGUUGCCAGCUCAAUCUCCAAGUCUAGCUCCAGCUCAAAAUCGUUAUUCUGAGCCAGACAGCCGGGAUUGGCGUGGCCGUUCUGCACCAGUUCCUACCGCUGGAGAGGAACGGUCCUGGGAUACUCUUCGGGAGAAUAAAGAGUCUGGUAAUCGGUUUGAUUACAGACAGCAAGAAGCAAAUCAGUCUCAAUUUUCAAGGACACAGAACCAAGGGGUAAUAUAUUUUUAAGAACAGUGUAAUUUGACCUAUACAGUUUUUCCUCUCUGUAGUUUUGGUUUGUAUUUGUCUCCCGAUUAUCUUUUGUAUUGAGUUUUGCCUGAGGGAAUAGGUUAGAGUUUAUUCUCAUGCAGUUAUAUCCAGUGGGAGUAGGUUGAAUGUGCACCUUUGUUUGGUUCUGGUGUAUUCUACUGUUCUUUUUAACUUCUGUACUUGUACAUGAGGACAUUAUCGACUCAGAUUCUUUUCUGAUAUCAUUAGUUUCUCGUCAUUUCAGGGAGGGCCUGCUCCCACUUUAAUCAAAGCUGAGGUGCCAUGGUCAGCUAGAAGGGGUACUCUAUCUGAUAAGGAUCGCGUGUUGAAGACUGUGAAGGGGUAAUACAUUCUAUUACAUCUUGAUUAUUUGCUCACUAUAUCCCAACACGUAUAAUCAUGGGAUUACCUUUCUGUCCCAAGUUGUCGUUGUUUGGUAAUCUUUUGGUCUACUAUAUAGUUUUCUGUGAGAACAUUGUGCUUAAUGGCUUUCAAUUUAUGUUUUCUAUGCAGGAUUCUAAACAAGCUGACUCCGGAGAAGUUUGAUCUCCUCAAAGGACAACUUAUAGACUCUGGCAUUACGUCGGCUGAUAUCUUAAAGGUUUUUUUAUUUUUUGUUUUUUUUGUAUUGAUAUACCCUUAAUCCAUAUUUAUAAUGCUCUUUUCGGUUUUGUUUUAUUACUUCUGGCAACUGUACUCACAUUUUUCCUUGCAUUCCAGGGUGUUAUUUCACUGAUAUUUGAUAAGGCCGUGCUAGAACCUACAUUUUGCCCCAUGUAUGCUCGCCUCUGUUAUGAUCUUAGUGAAAAGCUUCCCCGGUUCCCCUCAGAUGAACCAGAUGGUAAAGAAAUCACUUUCAAGCGGGUCCUCUUGAAUAACUGCCAGGAGGCUUUUGAUGGUGCUGACAAAUUGAGGGAAGAAGUGAGACAGUUGACUGCCCCUGAACAAGAGAUGGAGCGUAGGGAUAAAGAAAGAUUGGCAAAGAUUCGUACACUGGGAAACAUUCGUUUAAUUGGAGAGCUUCUGAAGCAGAAGAUGGUACCUGAAAAGAUUGUACAUCACAUUGUUAAGGUACGUUGUGGAUUUCCUCCUUCACCCCUUUACUUGCUCAGCAAUUACUCUUCAAUAUGUUGUUCAUGGUUGUUUUUUAUGUGAAACAGGAGCUCUUAGGAUCUGAUAACAAAGUUUGUCCUGCUGAGGAAAACGUGGAAGCAAUAUGUCAUUUUUUUAGCACUAUUGGAAAGCAGCUUGAUGAGAAGCCAAAAUCACGCAGUAUAAACGACAUGUACUUCAGCCGAAUGAAGGAACUGACAACAAACCCUCAAUUGGCUCCAAGGUUGAGGUUCAUGGUUCGAGAUGUAAUUGAUUUGCGUUCCAACAACUGGGUUCCCAGGCGUGAAGAGGUAGGCUAUUGUAAUAUGUGCUCGACUUGUAUAUUAAAUUGCUAAUAUUUAACAAAAAAAAACUAAUUGUCAUCUUAUUUUGAAAUUUGAUUACAGAUAAAAGCCAAAACCAUCACUGAAAUACAUACGGAGGCAGAAAAAAAUCUUGGAUUGCGUCCGGGUGCUACUGCAAGCAUCCGAAGUGGUCGUAACAAUGUUUCUGGUGCUCAAGGGCAAGGGAGUACCAGCCCUGGAGGAUAUCCCAACAACCGACCUGGUUCAGGGGGUAUGAUGCCUGGAAUGCCAGGAACAAGGAAGAUGCCUGGGAUGCCUGGAAUGGAUAAUGACAACUGGGAGGUCCAGAGGACACGGACAAUGCCAAGGGGUGAUGGGUUUGGUGUGCAGCCGGGUGGUGGGCGUGGCCAGGUGCCGUUGGUUGGAAAAUCAACAUCAGUGAACACAAGGCUGU
rnacentral:lncRNA from 1 species